CCUACGGGAGGCAGCAGUGAGGAAUAUUGGUCAAUGGGCGCGAGCCUGAACCAGCCAAGUCGCGUGAGGGAAGACGGUCCUAUGGAUUGUAAACCUCUUUUGUCGGGGAGCAAAAGACGCCACGCGUGGCGUUCCGAGAGUACCCGAAGAAAAAGCAUCGGCUAACUCCGUGCCAGCAGCCGCGGUAAUACGGGGGAUGCGAGCGUUAUCCGGAUUUAGUGGGUGUAACGGGUGCGCAGGCGGAAGAUCAAGGCAGCGGUAAAAUUGAGAGGCUCAACCUCUUCGAGCCGUUGAAACGGGUUUUCUUGAGUGAGUGAGAAGGAUGCGGAAUGCGUGGUGUAGCGGUGAAAUGCAUAGAUAUCACGCAGAACUCCGAUUGCGAAGGCAGCAUACCGGCGCUCAACUGACGCUCAUGCACGAAAGUGUGGGUAUCGAACAGGAUUAGAUACCCCAGUAGUC
rnacentral:rRNA from 1 species